rnacentral:rRNA from 1 species
AGACCCGAAACCCGGUGAUCUAGCCAUGGGCAGGUUGAAGGUUGGGUAACACUAACUGGAGGACCGAACCGACUAAUGUUGAAAAAUUAGCGGAUGACCUGUGGCUGGGGGUGAAAGGCCAAUCAAACCGGGAGAUAGCUGGUUCUCCCCGAAAGCUAUUUAGGUAGCGCCUCGUGAAUUCAUCUCCGGGGGUAGAGCACUGUUUCGGCUAGGGGGCCAUCCCGGCUUACCAACCCGAUGCAAACUGCGAAUACCGGAGAAUGUUAUCACGGGAGACACACGGCGGGUGCUAACGUCCGUCGUGAAGAGGGAAACAACCCAGACCGCCAGCUAAGGUCCCAAAGUCAUGGUUAAGUGGGAAACGAUGUGGGAAGGCCCAGACAGCCAGGAUGUUGGCUUAGAAGCAGCCAUCAUUUAAAGAAAGCGUAAUAGCUCACUGGUCGAGUCGGCCUGCGCGGAAGAUGUAACGGGGCUAAACCAUGCACCGAAGCUGCGGCAGCGAACGUAUCACCCAAGACAACUUUACGGAGUUGACGAUUGACGGAGCGAAGCGACGUCAAAGCGUUCAUUAAAGUCGAGUUGGCUUAGGGAUACGUUCGUUGGGUAGGGGAGCGUUCUGUAAGCCUGUGAAGGUGUGUCGUGAGGCAUGCUGGAGGUAUCAGAAGUGCGAAUGCUGACAUAAGUAACGAUAAAGCGGGUGAAAAGCCCGCUCGCCGGAAGACCAAGGGUUCCUGUCCAACGUUAAUCGGGGCAGGGUGAGUCGACCCCUAAGGCGAGGCCGAAAGGCGUAGUCGAUGGGAAACGGGUUAAUAUUCCCGUACUUGGUGUUACUGCGAAGGGGGGACGGAGAAGGCUAUGUUGGCCGGGCGACGGUUGUCCCGGUUUAAGGGUGUAGGUGUGUGUUCCAGGUAAAUCCGGUU